AAAGUUGAAAAACUAUGAAUCCAGCUUCCCUUCUACCUUAUGUCAUCAGAUGUGAUUCAAGAUGUUGAGUGGCAAACAGAGAUAUCGGACAAAAACAGCGGAAAUAAUCUUUGCUCAGUGAGCAAGAAUCUUGUUCUUACUGGGGGCUUUAUGAGAUGUUUAUCUCCAUCACACCAGCUUGAAAGAACCCUGAACAGCUUCCUCCAUGACAGGGCAUCUGGCUGGAGUCUCACAGAGCACCUCCAGGACCAUGGUCCAGAAACACAGGUCUGCAAGCCUUAUGUUGGAGAGAAAAACACAGAGUUUAUCUGAGUGUUCCUGCUUCUCCACAGGGACACUAUUUCCAUUUCCUAAUUCAUUUUACUUCCCUAAUUUUCUGCUUCUCUCAAACUAGGACCCACAAGGUCCCAGGGUACGCUUGAGUUACAGGCCCGCCAUAGUCGUCAUCUUUGGCUUCAGGACAGGAAACAUAUCUAAGCUUCCUGUAGGCUACCUGCACCACAGACCGUGGGGUGAUGGUAGGAGGGGUCUCACCCUUCAUUGAGUCCCACCAAAGCUGCACAGAGCUGUUGCUGAAACUUCCAUACCUUUUCUGGUGUGAGGCAAAGUAUGAGAAGGUAAAGUUUAU
rnacentral:lncRNA from 1 species